GAUGAACGCUGGCGGCGUGCCUAAUACAUGCAAGUCGAGCGAACAGACGAGGAGCUUGCUCCUCUGACGUUAGCGGCGGACGGGUGAGUAACACGUGGAUAACCUACCUAUAAGACUGGGAUAACUUCGGGAAACCGGAGCUAAUACCGGAUAAUAUAUUGAACCGCAUGGUUCAAUAGUGAAAGACGGUUUUGCUGUCACUUAUAGAUGGAUCCGCGCCGCAUUAGCUAGUUGGUAAGGUAACGGCUAACCAAGGCGACGAUGCGUAGCCGACCUGAGAGGGUGAUCGGCCACACUGGAACUGAGACACGGUCCAGACUCCUACGGGAGGCAGCAGUAGGGAAUCUUCCGCAAUGGGCGAAAGCCUGACGGAGCAACGCCGCGUGAGUGAUGAAGGUCUUCGGAUCGUAAAACUCUGUUAUUAGGGAAGAACAAAUGUGUAAGUAACUAUGCACGUCUUGACGGUACCUAAUCAGAAAGCCACGGCUAACUACGUG
rnacentral:rRNA from 1 species